rnacentral:rRNA from 1 species
CCUACGGGAGGCUGCAGUGAGGAAUAUUGGUCAAUGGACGAGAGUCUGAACCAGCCAAGUAGCGUGAAGGAUGACUGCCCUAUGGGUUGUAAACUUCUUUUAUAAAGGAAUAAAACGAGGCACGUGUGCCUUUUUGCAUGUACUUUAUGAAUAAGGCUCGGCUAACUCCGUGCCAGCAGCCGCGGUAAUACGGAGGAUCCGAGCGUUAUCCGGAUUUAUUGGGUUUAAAGGGAGCGUAGAAGGGUUUUUAAGUCAGAUGUGAAAGUUUGCGGCUCAACCGUGAAAUUGCAAUUGAUACUGGAAGUCUUGAGUACAGUUGAGGUAGGCGGAAUUCGUGGUGUAGCGGUGAAAUGCUUAGAUAUCACGAAGAACACCGAUUGCGAAGGCAGCUUACUAAACUGUGACUGACAUUGAUGCUCGAAAGCGUGGGGAUCAAACAGGAUUAGAUACCCCAGUAGUC